rnacentral:rRNA from 1 species
AACGAACGCUGGCGGCAGGCUUAACACAUGCAAGUCGAGCGCCCCGCAAGGGGAGCGGCAGACGGGUGAGUAACGCGUGGGAAUCUACCCUGAUCUGCGGGAUAGCUCCGGGAAACUGGAAUUAAUACCGCAUGUGCCCUGAGGGGCAAAGAUUUAUCGGAUUGGGAUGAGCCCGCGUCGGAUUAGCUAGUUGGUGGGGUAAAGGCCUACCAAGGCGACGAUCCGUAGCUGGUCUAAGAGGAUGAUCAGCCACAUUGGGACUGAGACACGGCCCAAACUCCUACGGGAGGCAGCAGUGGGGAAUAUUGGACAAUGGGCGCAAGCCUGAUCCAGCCAUGCCGCGUGAGUGAUGAAGGCCCUAGGGUUGUAAAGCUCUUUCACCGGGGACGAUAAUGACGGUACCCGGAGAAGAAGCCCCGGCUAACUUCGUGCCAGCCGCCGCCGUAACAC